GAUGAACGCUAGCGGCAGGCUUAAUACAUGCAAGUCGUGGGGCAGCGCAGUGUAGCAAUACAUGGGCGGCGACCGGCAAACGGGUGCGUAACACGUACGCAACCUUCCCGUUACUGGGGAAUAGCCCAGGGAAACUUGGAUUAAUACCCCAUAUUAUAUUGAUUGGGCAUCUAAUUAAUAUCAAAGCUUCGGCGGUAACGGAUGGGCGUGCGGUUGAUUAGGUAGUUGGCGGGGUAACGGCCCACCAAGCCUACGAUCAAUAGCUGAUGUGAGAGCAUGAUCAGCCACACGGGCACUGAGACACGGGCCCGACUCCUACGGGAGGCAGCAGUAAGGAAUAUUGGGCAAUGGACGAAAGUCUGACCCAGCCAUGCCGCGUGGAGGAUGAAGGUCCUCUGGAUUGUAAACUUCUUUUUUCUGGGGCGAAAACCGGUUUUUCUAAACCAUUUGACAGUACCAGAAGAAUAAGCACCGGCUAACUCCGUGCCAGCCGCCGCGGUAAUAC
rnacentral:rRNA from 1 species